GAGUCAAGAUCGAUGGACGUUUAAGAGUCCGAAGAAUCGUCGGAGAUACUGUCGGAACCAACCGAGAAGAAAUCGGGAACCUAUCGGAAGUUCGCCGAAGAGAUCGUCGGAGGUUCACGGAGAUCACCGAGAAGGCUCGGCUACUCGUUAAAGUCAUCACAAGAUCGGGAGCUUGAUGGGAGUCCGUCGGAAGAAGUUCGUCGG
rnacentral:lncRNA from 1 species